GAUAGCCAUGAGCCUAGACUAGAUUAAGGAAUGUGGGUGUUUCCCUAAUUAUAGAAUUCUAUGGAAGAGAGAGAGUAGGCAUGUGGGAAGUGAAGACCGAGGAAAAGAAUUGUUUCCUUAUUUAGCUAGGUUGACAUAUUCUUUUCUUUAAUAAUUUUAAUUUAAAGGAAAAAUAAAAGUAAAAUAGAAUUUGGGAAAGUUCAAUUUUCCCACCUACACUUAGGCUUCGACCAUUAGGCCCUUAAAUAGAAAAAAUGAGAGCAUGAAGAGCUCUUAGGGUAGAGAGAGAGAUAGCUCAUGAGGAGGAGAAAGAGAGAAGGGUUUCGUAAACCUAGGAGGAGCAAAGAUCUCUGUCUCAUGUGUUGAGAACCAACCCACACUAGUUCUUGGUUGAUCAAAGGCUUGGUGCGGAAGAC